UUAAUAUGAAUUUUGAUAUCAACUUUUCUACGAGUUUUUGUCAAUUAUAUUUUAAAAAUUCUUAUAUAUAUUUGCUAUAAAUUAAUUUAAUAAUAAAAAGAGAAAAACAUGGAUAAACUACCCACGUUUUUAUCACACAAAGUAAUUUCCUAAUUAUUCUCAACUUACCACCAUCAUCAUCAUCAUACGAUCAACCAUGAAGUUAGUUUAAAUAUUACUUUUUCUUGAACAAAGUUAGUUUAUAUAUUAUUUUCUUUCUCUUUUUCGCCAUCAAUUCAUCUCUCGUUUUUUACCAUCGUUUCAUCUCUCUCUUUUCACUAUCGUCAAUUCUAAAACCUCUGCUGCAAGUUUAUGUUUUGUUUUCUAUCAAUUUUCUUAGAAUAAUUAUUCUCUUCUUCUCUAAUAAAUAAUCCUUUCUCUCUUUGUGCAGAACUCAGGUUGAAGAUGUCAUUCAAUUCAUCUAAAAAAUAGAAAAUCAGAGUGCGGUCUCUCGGAUCUGGGACUACUAUCCCAAACAUAAACUUGAAGUUUUUCUCGGGAUGAAAGCUAUCCUAAUGGAUGAAAAAGUACAUACACUUUGAUGAAAAGUGAAGAUGUCAAUUGAAUUUCCUCAGCUUAGUUCUUCAAAAAAACGAAUAUAAAUCAAAGCAUUGUCAACAACAGUUGAGAUUUGCAGAUUUAUCUGCAGAUGAAGAUAGUAGCACUCAAAAGGAAAAUAGUUGUUUAAGACGGAUAAAUAUUAGAUUAACAAGAGGAAAGUAAUAAUCUAUCAAAUAAAAUGUGUUAAUUGUAUAACUAAUCAGAUUUUAAAGCUAUUUGGAUUAGUUUUUUAGUUUCUUUAGUUACGUGUAUUUUUUUGUUAUUAAAGUCAAUUAUUUUGUUUGUCAA